rnacentral:rRNA from 1 species
UACAGAGGUCUCAAGCGUUGUUCGGAUUCAUUGGGCGUAAAGGGUGCGUAGGCGGCGCGGUAAGUCGGGUGUGAAAUUUCGGAGCUUAACUGCGAAACUGCAUUCGAUACUGAGAGUCUCGAGUCCGGGAGAGGUGAGUGGAACUGCGAGUGUAGAGGUGAAAUUCGUAGAUAUUCGCAAGAACACCAGUGGCGAAGGCGGCUCACUGGCCCGAUACUGACGCUGAGGUGCGAAAGCGUGGGGAGCAAACAGG